rnacentral:rRNA from 1 species
AACCUUUACACUGCACGACAGUGCGAUAGGGGGACUCCGAGUGCGAGGGCAUAUAGUCCUCGCUUUUCUGUACCGUAAGGUGGUACAGGAACAAGUGCUGGGCAAGACCGGUGCCAGCCGCCGCGGUAAUACCGGCAGCACGAGUGAUGGCCGAUCUUAUUGGGCCUAAAGCGUCCGUAGCUGGCCGUGCAAGUCCGUCGGGAAAUCCACCCGCUCAACGGGUGGGCGUCCGGCGGAAACUGCAGGGCUUGGGACCGGGAGGCUUGAAGGGUACGUCCGGGGUAGGAGUGAAAUCCUGUAAUCCUGGACGGACCGCCGAUGGGGAAACCACUUCAAGAGAACGGAUCCGACAGUGAGGGACGAAAGCUAGGGUCUCGAACCGGAUUAGAUACCCGGGUAGUCCUAGCUGUAAACGAUGCCUGUUAGGUGUGACUCCCACUACGAGUGGGUGUUGUGCCGUAGGGAAGCCGCUAAACAGGCCGCCUGGGAAGUACGUCUGCAAGGAUGAAACUUAA